CGGCAAUAGCUCAAAUUUGAAAUCUGGUCUUUGACCCGAAUUGUAAUUUGUAGAAGAUGCUUCGGGUGUAGCACCGGUCUAAGUUCCUUGGAACAGGACGUCAUAGAGGGUGAGAAUCCCGUAUGUGACUGGCUGCCUUCGCCUAUGUGAAGCUCUUUCGAC
rnacentral:rRNA from 1 species